rnacentral:lncRNA from 1 species
CCAAGGGCAACAGAACAGGGCCAAAAGUCCUAUUUUAACAGAUUGCAUGUUGUAUGCCCAUGUGAAACCCCAAAAUUGCGACAACAUGAAAUGGAUGGUAUCAACCAUAAACAUCCAUGGCUAACAUGAUUUUAAUUACUUGUUGUAGUUAAACAAGACAUAAGGCUGAAUUUGAACUUCUUUAUUAAAUAUACUGAACCUCCUGUUGACAAAACAUCACAUGAAUACAUUAAGCGGAUUGAUUUCACCAAAACCCAAACAACAUUUACCAAGCAAUGUAAACCUAAACUGCAGAACAAAGCACUACAUGCUCAAGGAAACACACAAGUCAUAUGCAUUUGCAAAUCAGAGCUACUAUUCAUUCAAAUUGAACUUAUAUACUUAAGGCAUCUAACAGUAGAGUACUUUAAUCAUUUGAACUAGAUAUCAAAGUGUAACAGUAGCUCCAUACUUGUCUAGCUGUUAAAACCAACACUUAACAAAAAUACUAUGAGAAGGACUCAUUGGACUGACCAUUACUAGCUCAAAACAACUCAAAUCAAACCUCACAAAGGACAUGCUAUUUAUCUAAAUCAGUCCCUGCUGCAAUACCCAAUCAAUCCACAUACAUAAGCAAGAUUUUGAACAAUCUAAAACACCAAUAGCCUAAAUUAGAGUGUUAGUCUAAACUUACAAACAAAAUUCAUAUCAAACCAUGAUUGAACAAAUAAACAUAUCCAAAGGGACUAGAAUAACAUAGAAUUGCAUGAUCUUAGAACAUGAAACAUUAUUCAAUAAACAUCAUUGUUCUUGAGUUCCAUCUCAGUUACAUGGCUUCAAAUUUUGCACUUCAUACGCUAAGGAGAUCAAAGAAAUACCUAGGAAAAUAAGAGCAAAAGAAAAAAGAGAAUCAGCAGCAGAAGAUGCACUUCAGCAGAUCACCACAACAAUUUGACUUCCUUAAACCAUUUUUGAAACCAUAUCAAAACAAGAGGUUUUUGAGGUGUGAAAAUGACUCUGAUAGUAUACUCCUAGAGUGUAAUUCCAAGCGGUUUUUAUCCAAACUAAUGCAGAGAAUUUUGCAGUCUUUUAGGGUGUGAAUCUGUGUGCUGAAUGAGGCAGAGGCCUUAUUUAUAAGGCAGAAGUCUGUUGUGUGCCUUACAAGGCAGGACAAUAGGAUUAUCCCCAAAAUACCCCUCACAAGGUAUCUUUUUUAACAGAAAAUGGACAUCUGUCAUUUUCUCAUUGGCUUCAGUACUUCAGCUAACCAAAUGGGGCCUGCUGCCCUUGUUCUAGACUAAUCUGAUAUUUUCCCAAAGAGAUAAAUCCUAAAUUACCCUUAUGCAGCCUGCUUAUUACAGUCCCUGCCUAACCCUUUAUGACCCCCUUAAGUUUCCUUACUUACAAUUAGCCCCCUACAGAUCCCUAAGGAUUGAUAAACGUGACCAAUGAAAACAAAUAAUCACCAAUCGGAUAAAAAACAGACUCACAGGCCCAAAACAUUGAACAACUUUAAAGUCUGAAAAUAAUCUUAAGAUGAACAAAGUUCAUAAUGAAACCCAGGCAAACAUGAACUUUAAACCAGAAACAUUUAAGCUAAUUUAAACAUGCCUAAGUAAAUUAACAGAAGAAUCAACUGCAAAACCAACUUCAAUUUAAACUAACAUGAUUUGACUGUUCUAAACACCUAAUUUAAUUGAGACGACUGACUGAAAUCUCAACAAACCAGUAAUUAACACUAACAAAACUGAAACCUAAAGACAAAACAACUUAACUAAGGGAAAGAAGAGAAGAACAGAAAUGACCUAUAGCUACAUUAGGCAUGGAUCCGAAAAAUAAAAGUAACCCUAAACAUGUGGGGAAAAAUCUAAAGAAACGGAAGAGGAAUAAAACUCUCAAAACAGUAAAGGAGCAAAGAUUUAACUGAGAAUAGGAUCAAGGGGAUAAAAUCACACUGGAAUGAUGCAAAGGGCCGGAACUAUCUCGAAAUGACCCAAAAUUGAAGCUAAUUAGUUGUUCUUGCCAAGAACAGCUAACCAGCCUAGAUUUCCGGCUAGUUCGAAGCUUGAAAACAAACCGAGGAUUUCUGACUUGUUGUAGAUUUAGGAUUUGGGGUUUUUCGAAGGGGUAUUUGGGAAAUCUAUGAUAAAAUCAUGAUGAGGGAAGGUCAAGGACGAUGAGAUUUGAUUUUUGAGUAAUUUAGGGAAGUUAGGUUUUUGAUCGGGGUUUUCGAUCUAAAAUUCGAGCCGAUCUAAAGGGAUUCGAGGGUAGCUAGUCGGAUAUUGGUGAAGGGGAGGCCACAAGGAUGUUGUGGUGUGAAUAUGGGGGUGAUUAGAGUGGUGUAAGGCGUCGCCGCCGGCGGGGGGUCUUAGGGCAGCAUCUCUAGGGUUUCUGAGGUUAGAGAUGAUGAUAGGGUAGAGAGAGGAGGUUUU